rnacentral:lncRNA from 1 species
UCAACACGAAGGAUUUCAUUUUAGCUGAGUACACGGUAUGGCAUCUUGAUUUUAUACUGGGUUCUGAUUUGGAGCCCUUCCACAGGUAGGACUGCAGUUUGGCAUUGCAUUAACCCGAAGGUGAGAAUCAUACCUGAUGCUGAAUUCUUCUUCCCAGCAUCUACUUUUGCCUCCCAAUCUGAUUUGAGUCAGGAGAGAGGCAGAAUCUCGCCAGGCAAUUCAGGUGCUGUGUUGAAAGAGAAGUAGGAAGAAUGCCUGAAAGGGAUCAACCAUUGCUUUUGUGAACAAAUACCAGCAAUUAAGCUAGACAUUUUUGCAUGGAGAGGGAAUAAAACUUGCGAAUUAUAGUACUUCUGCUUCA